rnacentral:rRNA from 1 species
CUACCGGGGUAUCUAAUCCUGUUUGCUCCCCACGCUUUCGCGUCUCAGCGUCAGCAACGAUCCAGAGGGCCGCCUUCGCCGCCGGUGUUCCUCCUGAUAUCUACGCAUUUCACCGCUACACCAGGAAUUCCACCCUCCUCUAUCGCGCUCUAGCUUGCUAGUAUCGGAUGCACUUCUGGGGCUGAGCCCCAGGCUUUCACACCCGACUUGACAAACCGCCUACACGCCCUUUACGCCCAGUCAAUCCGAACAACGCUUGCACCCUCCGUCUUACCGCGGCUGCUGGCAC